rnacentral:rRNA from 1 species
AUUGAACGCUGGCGGCAGGCUUAACACAUGCAAGUCGAACGAGUGGCGGACGGGUGAGUAAUGCUUGGGAAUCUGGCUUAUGGAGGGGGAUAACGACGGGACACUGUCGCUAAUACCGCGUACCAUAGGAUGAGCCCAUGUGGGUUUAGGUAGUUGGUGGGGUAAUGGCCUACCAAGCCGACGAUCUCUAGCUGGUCUGAGAGGGUGACCAGCCACACCUGGACUGGGACACGGCCCGGACUCCAACGUGAGGCAGCGGUGGGGAAUAUUGCGCAAGGGGGGCGACCUGACGCAGCCAUGCCGCGUGAAUGAAGAAGGCCUUCGGGUUGGAAAGUGCUUUCGGUGACGAGGCGUUAAUCACAGAAGGAGCGCCGGCUAACUCCGUGCCAGCAGCCGCGGUGAUUC